GUUUUUUGGCGGGGGGCGGCGGGGUGUUACAGGCGCUCGGGCCUUCCUCGCUGGAUCCUGGCCGCCUGCCUCUUCCUCUCCAUCAUGGUGAUGCUGUGGCUGAGCUGCGCCAGCUUGGUGACGGCCCCCGAGCAGCACGUCAAGACCCAGCCUCUGAGCAUCAACGGGGACAAGGAGUUCCUGGAGGACCUGGACGGCCCCGGAGCCUUCCCCCUGCCGCCCGUCAUCGCCGUCACCCUGUGCCCUGCGCACGGCGAGGACGCGGGGCCGCUGCCCCUCAAGGUCGACCUGGAUAAAACCGUCCUGUAGCUCUCCUGCCCCUUCCCCAUCACCUCCCUGCCACCUCGCUGUCACCGUCCCCAUGCCGGUGUCCCCGGGUCCUGCUCUUCUCCCCCGUGUCCCCAGCUCCCCGUGGGCUCUGCCUCCGUGGUGGGUGGGGGGGGUCCUGGCUGGAUGCCACCGUCACCCCUAGGGCCAGCCUGGGGCUUUUCCUCCUCCGUUAACGUUGCUGCGUGGUGGGCUCCUGCUUCCCGGAGCUAAAAGAGGGCUGCCAGCGUGGGGAGGCCGAGGGGAGCCCGUCUGCUCCGGAGCAGAGCCCCCCGGGGCCCCCCAGACCUCCGGGCAUGGGUCCAGCGCUGGGCAGGAGGGAGCCGGCUGCGGUGGGGGAUGGAGCAACGUCUGCAGCGCUUGGGGCUUUGGCUCGGCACAUCCCCGGCCUCCCACCUUGGGCUGAGCCGAUUGCCUCGGGGAGCCGAAACGUGGCGAAUGGAUUUGGCGUUGGCAGCCGGAGAGAGCGGCGGAUCUGGCCGCCUCCGUGCCCACGCGAGGACCCAGCCGGCCCCUCGCAGGAGCUGCCGAGGGGCCCCGGGAUGGAUCCUUCCCCUCCCUGCUCCCUGAGGCCUCGGGGGUUUUAUCUGGUGCUGGUGGGACCGAGCGGGAGGACGCGGUGGCAUUUCCCUGCCCCGUGCUCCUGGGGUGCGCCCGAGCACAAUCAGAGGUGCUGGGAUGUGCUGGGAUGUGCUGGGAUGUGCUGGGAUGUGCUGGGAUGUGCUGGGAUGUCUCCGUCC
rnacentral:lncRNA from 1 species